rnacentral:rRNA from 1 species
UACGUAGGGUGCAAGCGUUAAUCGGAAUUACUGGGCGUAAAGCGUGCGCAGGCGGUGAUGUAAGACAGAUGUGAAAUCCCCGGGCUCAACCUGGGAACUGCAUUUGUGACUGCAUCGCUGGAGUACGGCAGAGGGGGAUGGAAUUCCGCGUGUAGCAGUGAAAUGCGUAGAUAUGCGGAGGAACACCGAUGGCGAAGGCAAUCCCCGGGCCUGUACUGACGCUCAUGCACGAAAGCGUGGGGAGCAAACAGG